rnacentral:rRNA from 1 species
CGCGGCCUAUCAGCUUGUUGGUGAGGUAACGGCUCACCAAGGCAUCGACGGGUAGCUGGUCUGAGAGGACGAUCAGCCACACUGGGACUGAGACACGGCCCAGACUCCUACGGGAGGCAGCAGUAGGGAAUCUUGCGCAAUGGGCGAAAGCCUGACACAGCAACGCCGCGUGGGGGAUGAAUGCCUUCGGGUUGUAAACCCCUUUCAGCAGGGACGAAAAUGACGGUACCUGCAGAAGAAGCUCCGGCCAACUACGUGCCAGCAGCCGCGGUAAUACGUAGGGAGCGAGCGUUGUCCGGAAUUAUUGGGCGUAAAGAGCUCGUAGGCGGUUCAGUAAGUCGGGUGUGAAAACUCAAGGCUCAACCUUGAGACGCCACUCGAUACUGCUGUGACUUGAGUCCGGUAGAGGAGUGUGGAAUUCCUGGUGUAGCGGUGAAAUGCGCAGAUAUCAGGAGGAACACCAGCGGCGAAGGCGGCACUCUGGGCCGGUACUGACGCUGAGGAGCGAAAGCAUGGGGAGCAAACAGGAUUAGAUACCCCGGUAGUCCAUGCCGUAAACGUUGGGCACUAGGUAUGGGAUCAUAUCAACGGAUUCCGUGCCGUAGCUAACGCAUUAAGUGCCCCGCCUGGGGAGUACGG